UAAGGAAUAUUGGACAAUGGACGCAAGUCUGAUCCAGCCAUGCCGCGUGAAGGAUGACUGCCCUCUGGGUUGUAAACUUCUUUUAUAGGGGGAAGAAAGUUAUUUUUUCUUAGGAUAUUUGACGGUACCCUAUGAAUAAGCACCGGCUAACUCCGUGCCAGCAGCCGCGGUAAUACGGAGGGUGCAAGCGUUAUCCGGAUUCACUGGGUUUAAAGGGUGCGUAGGCGGGUAUGUAAGUCAGUGGUGAAAUACCGGAGCUUAACUUCGGAACUGCCAUUGAUACUAUAUAUCUUGAAUAUUGUGGAGGUAAGCGGAAUAUGUCAUGUAGCGGUGAAAAUGCUUAGAGAUGACAUAGAACACCGAUUGCGAAGGCAGCUUGCUACGCAAAUAUUGACGCUGAGGCACGAAAGCGUGGGGAUCAAACAGGAUUAGAUACCCUGGUAGUCCACGCCCUAAACGAUGAUUACUCGACAUUAGCGAUACACAGUUAGUGUCUGAGCGAAAGCAUUAAGUAAUCCACCUGGGAAGUACGACCGCAAGGUUGAAAACUUAAAGGAAUUGACGGGGUCAUAGCUGUUUCCU
rnacentral:rRNA from 1 species